AUUCUGUGUUAACCCUGUACUAUUGUGGACAAUCUAGUAAAACUUCUCAGAUCAAUUAUUUUCUGAAUCAAGGCCAACAGCAAAUCCUGGCACAGAAUUCCAAGAUGAGAGUAAAUGAUUACAUGUGGCAGAAUAAAGAAGAGAAGGACCAAUCCUCAAAUGGUCAAUGGAAUCAUGAGAUGUUAGAACUGACCUGUAGUAAAAUAGCGUAUCCAUUACAAUUAGGUCUGGCUGUAACAAAGACCUGAGAAUUUAUGUCUUAAGCAAUAUUAGAAGUUAUAUUUUGUCAACUAAAUGAAGUCGAGACUUAGGCAAUCAAAGGCUGGUAUGGUGGCCCAGGCUCCUUCCAGGUCAUUGCUCUGCAAUUCCUAUCAAGGCCCUUCUUGUCAUGCUCCAAGAUGAUGACCAGAGCUCCUGCGAUCCCAUCAAAAUUCCAGACAGCAAAAUGGAAGAAGACUUGAAGGGGCAAAAAGCAUGCAUCAUCUGUCUGGCAAAUCCUGUAGUUUAGGUGCAUACACCACCUACUCCUUAGGAAUAAAAAGAAGCUACAAUUUUCCAUUGGUGCUUUUCUCUCAGAAUGACUACCACUGACAGAACUGAUGAGAUGUUGCCUGCAAUACAGUCACUUUGUAGCAUGACUACAACAUACAUCGACACACUGGCUGCGAUGAAGGUCUCCAAAAGAAACCAUCCUUUUUGGGGAUCCCUGGGUGGCUCAGCGGUUUAGCGCCGCCUUCUGCCCAGGGUGUGAUCCUGGAGACCUGGGAUCGAGUCCCGCAUUGGGCUCCCUGCAUGGAACCUGCUUUUCCCUCUGCCUAUG